CUUCUUCAUCCUUCCGGCUUCCUUCAUUUCUUCAAUUUCCUCAAACCCAAUAUAUAUGGAGUUGAAGAGUGCGCUCAGCUGAUCUUAUCGCCUCGCUAUCAACUCAGAGAGCAUGGAAGGAUCUCUGAUGCUGGCUUUAAUGUUGCACGAAGCAUCAUUCCCGGUCUAGCUAUCGCUCUCUUUGCUUUGUGUCAUUAGAUUCAUUACAUACCAAUAUUUGUUCGUAGUUUAUUUAUUUUUUAUCCCCAGAUUAUUGGAACAAACUACAAGACCCUUGAUGGGACUUGCGUGUAUGUGACUACAUAGAUGUCACAGACUGAUGGGUGUUCAUAUAGUCCUUAUUUUUACAAGUCCAGGCUAAUGCAAGGGUCAAUCAGCGUCUACCGUCUUAACUCCUUCAGGCAUAUCUUGGAAGAAAGCAAUGUGUAUGAGCUGAAUGGUUUCGAUGUUGCAAAAAGCAAUCCGACCUACAAGUUUGAUGAGACGCCAGUGUCUAUUAGACACCGAGCAUACUGUUUUUGUUGGGGGUAGCAGAUACAAGUGAGAAUCCCCAAGGUGUGCUUCAGGUUCCGGAAAUACGAUCAGCUCAUGUCACUUGCCAAUAGCAACACUUAUUUUACAGAUAUCUUUGGAGAAGUUAGAGGCGCAUCAAAACCAUUUACAACCAUGACACCUAGAGCGCUCAACGCCUCAUGGCAUGUUGGCAACCUUAAAGCUCGAUAGGACAUUCCUUUCUGUCUGAGUGUUUUGAUGGGGUCGCUGCAGACCUGGAUAAAAUAUUAUUGAAUUCUGGUGUUGAACCAAUGGUGGUUAUUGCAACAAAUAUUAACUCAAAGUUUGUUGGUGGCAAAAACCUCUCAAUGUUAAGCUAGGUGCAGCAUGGUCUUAAGGGCGGCUGCUUCUCAACGCAACCUCAUGCACUUUUAUUUUGACAACGACGGUGGAGUUAGCAAUAAUUAUCUUAAAAAGGUGAGUGGCAAUGAUGAAGGAUCAUCCUGAGCUCUUACUAAGUAUGGUGGGGUUAAAAAACGUUGAAUCAGUUACACUGUCCGAACUCAAUACCCACGGCUUCACUGCAUCACCAGAGGAACCAGAGUUCCUUUGCACUGCGGUCGUCGAUUGCAUUGACACAGCACACAGAUGGUGCUAUUUCUCAUUUCAGAAGUGCUACCGCAAACUGCAACGUGGAUUCUCAGCUUUUUCAUGCUAUGCAUGUCGACAAUGCAGUUGGCGUUGUUAGGUCAAGCACUCCACGGGUAUGCCCUAUUCAGCCAGACAGUGACAUUGGAGAGGAGUUGGCUGAAGAAAAAGGUCGCAGCCCUAUGAAGAGCCCCAAAGACUAGGUGUUUUACACCGGCAGUAAGAGCGAGCUGAUUUAGUGUCACAACUAUUUUGCAUGUCAUACUUUUGUCUUUUCAUGUUUCUGCA